UGCGGAGGGCGCAAGCGUUGUUCGGAAUCACUGGGCGUAAAGCGCGAGGAGGCGGCUUGGCAAGUCGGGUGUGAAAUCCCGAGGCUCAACCUCGGAACUGCACUCGAAACUGCCUGGCUCGAGUCCCGGAGAGGGUGGCGGAAUUCCCGGUGUAGGGGUGAAAUCCGUAGAUAUCGGGAGGAACACCAGUGGCGAAGGCGGCCACCUGGACGGUGACUGACGCUGAGACGCGAAAGCGUGGGGAGCAAACAGG
rnacentral:rRNA from 1 species